CUAAUCCACCAGGUACGUGAUCCUGAAAUGGAGCUGCAGAGCUGCCAUGUAAGGAAAGGGAAAAGGACCAAACAGAUAGGUCAGCCUGGUCACAGUGCACAAACAUUCUGAAAAAUGCCAGAAAAGAUCAUGCAAAGCAGACUGUACUGCAUGAACGAGGACUUUUCCUUCAUCACAGGCCUGGUGCUAUUGGAGGCCGGAAGAGGGCUUUAGGAUUCAUUGGAACUGGAGAUGAAGUACAGAUAAACAGUACAGCCUCUUCUAUUGACCCUGGAGCAAGAUUGGAGUGAAAAGACCCUUGUGGAUUUGCCUGGUCUUGCUGGAUUGAAGAUAAAUGAUCACCCAAGAAAGAAAGAUGUUUUCCUCAGAAGACUUCCCCUUGUUUGCUGACAGAAAGAGCCAUGCCAUCAGUUUCUCUGUGAUUGCUAUUUUUUCCCUCUCUGAAAUAAAGACAAAUCCUGACAUUGAAUAUAUUC